rfam:Oryza sativa (indica cultivar-group) chromosome 2, whole genome shotgun sequence.
UUUAAGUGUAGCCAUGAGUUUUCGUGUCCAACUUUGAUCGUCCGCCUUAUCUGAAAUUUUUUUGUAAUUAAUAUUUUUAUUGUUAUGAAUAGUACUUUACUCGUGACUUAUGUUUUUAAAUUUUUUUCAAAUAAGACAGACGAUCAAAAUUGGACGUGGAAAACCAUGGUUGCACUUAAA